GAUACUAAUUUAUGUUAUUGUUGCAUAGGUGAAUGGUGCUUUAGCUUCAAUGACCAAUUUUAUUGCUAAUAUUUUUCCCACUGGAAGUAUCAAAGAAUAUACAACUUGUCGCAAGGAAGAGUAGGAAGAUCAGGCAGAGAGGGUUUCACAUACCUCUUCUACACUGACAAGUCUUUGCUUUCCAGGAUUGCCAUGGGAGCUUUGGAUGGUGGUCUUGAUAUUCUGCACAGUGACAAGAGAUUUGCUGGCUUCAAGAAGGAUAAGAAGCAGCUGGGCGCUGAGAUUCACCGGAUACAUCUAUGAAGGUCAUGUUGCUGACUACAUGAAGAGAGGGAUGAAUCCGGCCACCAGGGCAAAAGAUCAGGGUGGAUCCAAGCCAUCACCGCCUCUCCUUUACUGCCUUGGACGAUGGCCGCCUCCCAGGUGCAGUCAAUGUGGAGGCCAAAAUCGAAAUUGCGAAAGAGAAGUGAUGCCUCCUCCUCUGAGCUGCUGCAUCACCGUGCCCCUCUGGUGGCUUGCCUGCUUUCAGAACGAAGAGGUGGUGGCAGGCGGAGGAGGGAGCAUGACCCUGGGAUGGACGCAGUGGAGCACAACCAGGUGAUAAUUGGGUGGGAGCAAAAAGGGGAGCAGGCAAUGACCCUUUUUAAAUUUGGCUUCGGUAAGGAGAGCAGGCAAUAACCCUCUUUCACUUUCAUGUCGGUAAGGCCAGAAUGACAGGCCUAAGCUCCUGGUGAUAUCCUACUCCACUCAGUUUUUUCUUCUUCCAUGCCUACACGGAUCUAUUUUUUUUAGUUUAAACCUGUCUAAAUUUCUGUCAUAUCAAAUCUUUUGAAACAAUGUGCUACUAUUAUUAUUACUGAACUGUGUCAAUCUGUUUGUUUUUUGAAGUGGGAAGGGAUGAAUUGAACAAGAAUGAAGGACGACGUGUUUGUUCUUCAACCAUUUCCCUCUGAAACCUAGAAAAUUGGGGGAAAUCAUGGCUAGAGCAUAUGUGAACUUGGCCUCCGGUCAUUUAGUCAGGUUUCUGGUUCUGCUUGGGAGAGUAUCAAGUGUUUCCCGUUUGUUUAUUUAAAUAAUUUGUAUCUAAUUCUUGUGAAGUAGAUCGUGCUUGGGAGAGUAGCAUGUGUUUCCCAGCAAGCAUGUUGCUUGCUGGUUUUAGAUUAUUGAUUUAGUUACAUGCAUAGAACCUUUUGGACGGUUGGCUUGGCUGUUCGGAUCUAUUUUUAUACAGGGAAAACCGUAUUCCAAUCAUAAAACUGAUACAACGGGCACACUAAUAUGACUGCUGUACUUUGAUAUCGACCAUUUGAUUAUUCAGGAGAUAUGUAUCAAAAGAAGAAAAAAAAGGUGUGAACCAUUUGAUCGCUGGGUAGAUGUGUGUUAAGGAAAUAAAACAGACAACAUGUUUGUUCCUUUGGAUAUAUGUUG